rnacentral:rRNA from 1 species
CCUACGGGGGGCAGCAGUGAGGAAUAUUGGUCAAUGGGCGCUAGCCUGAACCAGCCAAGUAGCGUGAAGGAUGACUGCCCUAUGGGUUGUAAACUUCUUUUAUAUGGGAAUAAAGUGCAGUAUGUAUACUGCUUUGCAUGUACCUUAUGAAUAAGGAUCGGCUAACUCCGUGCCAGCAGCCGCGGUAAUACGGAGGAUCCGAGCGUUAUCCGGAUUUAUUGGGUUUAAAGGGAGCGUAGGCGGGUUGUUAAGUCAGUUGUGAAAGUUUGCGGCUCAACCGUAAAAUUGCAGUUGAUACUGGCAUCCUUGAGUACAGUAGAAGUAUGCGGAAUGCGUGGUGUAGCGGUGAAAUGCAUAGAUAUCACGCAGAACCCCGAUUGCGAAGGCAGCAUGCCGGCUUCCGACUGACGCUGAAGCACGAAAGCGUGGGGAUCGAACAGGAUUAGAUACCCUGGUAGUC